rnacentral:rRNA from 1 species
UCUCCCUACGGGGGGCAGCAGUGGGGAAUAUUGCACAAUGGGGGGAACCCUGAUGCAGCGACGCCGCGUGGGUGAAGGAGCGUUUCGGCGCGUAAAGCCCUAUCGGCAGGGAAGAAGGAGGACGGUACCUGACUAAGAAGCCCCGGCUAACUACGCGCCAGCAGCCGCGGUAACACGUAGGGGGCAAGCGUUGUCCGGAUUUACUGGGGGUAAAGGGGGCGCAGACGGCAGCGCAAGCCAGGAGUGAAAGCCCGGGGCCCAACCCCGGGACUGCUCUUGGAACUGCGCGGCUGGAGGGCAGGGGG